AAUUUGGAAGGAGCGAAGUUUAUAUAACUUACCAUUCUGAUUCAGAAGUUUCCUCUCCUGAUUCUUCACAUAACCACCUCUCAUUCUCCAUCCACCAUCAAUCUCAAACGACGUCAAUUCCCAGCUUCUUCCUUCUUUUCACUUCCUCUACCUUCUUCACACUCCAUCAUCUUCAAACCACCCUUCAUCAAUCACUCUCCUCAACUCUCCAUUUUCAAUAACUUC
rnacentral:lncRNA from 1 species